rnacentral:lncRNA from 1 species
GUUAUGUCUCGACAGAAGUACGUGCCCUGUUGGACACUGCACAACGAGCAUAGCGAAUCCUCAAGGUAUAAUGCUAAGGUGCAAUUGUUCAUUCAUACUGGCAUUUAGAAAGGAAAUCGGAAAGCUUCAAUAGGAACGACCAAUUGCUGCUUACCUUUUUGGUAAAUUUAGGAGUCUUAAUUUCUAUAAAGGCAGCAGAAACCGCCUCCAUAUAGGAGCGGGAAUUAUUAAAUGUCACUCUACCAGAUCCAAUCGGAUAUUUAUACUUGUCAGUAUCGAUACCUACAAAAGCACAAAGCAGUUAAAUUUUGAAUAUUCUGAAAUCGAAUACAAUUUUUAAAAUUCGGCUUAGAAAUUUACUGAGAAGUUUGUUUUCCUAUAUAAAGCUCGAUAAUAUCAGUAACUGAGUUUAAGUUAAUCAAUGCAAUUUGGCAAGGCUUACACUAUAGUUUAUUAAAAUUGAUGCAAUCAUGUAAAAAAAUCAAUAUAUACUAAAUUAAACUUGCAGAUAUGUACAA